AUCCAGAUUUCAACAUCAACUGAGGCAUUAAUUUUAAUUAACAGAGAUUUUCCAGCCAUCAAAUCUUAAAUUCAAAUAAUACAAAAAGAAGAUACCAGGUCCAAAAUUUCUACAAAUGUUCCACUUGAAAAUCAUGUUUUAAUUAGUAAAGUGAAGAAAGUCAUCUAAAAUAUGUCCUGCUAUCCAGAUUUCAACAUCAACUGAGGCAUUAAUUUUAAUUAACAGAGAUUUUCCAGCCAUCAAAUCUUAAAUUCAAAUAAUACAAAAAGAAGAUACCAGGUCCAAAAUUUCUACAAAUGUUCCACUUGAAAAUCAUGUUUUAAUUAGUAAAGUGAAGAAAGUCAUCUAAAAUAUGUCC
rnacentral:misc_RNA from 1 species